rnacentral:rRNA from 1 species
UACAGAGGUCUCAAGCGUUGUUCGGAUUCAUUGGGCGUAAAGGGUGCGUAGGCGGCGCGGUAAGUCGGGUGUGAAAUCUCGGAGCUUAACUCCGAAACUGCAUUCGAUACUGCCGUGCUUGAGGACUGGAGAGGAGACUGGAAUUUACGGUGUAGCGGUGAAAUGCGUAGAUAUCGUAAGGAAGACCAGUGGCGAAGGCGAAUCUCUGGACAAUUACUGACACUGAGGCACGAAGGCCAGGGAGCAAACGGG